CGCACGUGCCACGAUACAUUCGCGUUCCUCGUUCACGAAUCGUUUUCUCCUCGUUGUUCUGGCUAGCACGUUCCUUUUCGCUCUGGCGUUUUGUUCUCCGUCGCAGAUGCUCGCCACUCGCCAGUGCCGACAACCUCCCCCACCCGAGCCGCUCCGCGAGAAUGAUCGAGACAAGCUGACGAACACCGAAGUCUUGUGUGCUUACCAAAACCAUUUUCCUAUUACUGACGUCGAUUACUCAUUUGUAUUCCAUUUUACUAACGUCUUGUAAACAUUCUCAUGAUAUUUUUCAUCUUUUUUUUCAUGUUAUAAGGAAAAGUACUUCCUCAAGCUGUUCCUUUAACGAUUUAGGGGCUUGUGAGUUAGAAAAUUGGUAAAAUAGUCAUUCUGUACAGCGAUUGAUUGUAUUACCACUACACGUAACAAAAUACGCUAUAAGCUCCGGUUGCAAAUAGCGCAGAGGGGAUUCGUAAUUUUUGCGCGAAGGUUAUAUUUUCACUUAUCAAAUAAAGCUGCACGUAGAGUUUUGGUAUACUACCUUGUAUCGUGGGUAGUUUCGAGUUUCUCGUGAACAGGAAACCGUAUCAUUUAGCGUCACCGUCCCACCAGUGAAAAUGCAUUAACUGGCAGUAGCUGCCAACAUUGCGGCAAAGUGAAACCCCUCGUCACGGUGUAGUCACGUUAAAGCGAGCCGCGUUAAAAUAGUGCAACAAUCGCCUGGCUCCGAAUAAGGUGAAACGUUGCUUUCUCGACUCUCUCUAUAGAACAUUUACGUAAGUUACACAGAGAAAAGUAACCAAAUGUAAGCAUGCGUUACAAGAUCCUAUAUACGCAAUUGUUGCGUGUAUCCGUAAAGUACUUCGCGUAACUCUACUUUACCCAAAGAAUUGUAAGCGUAUGUAAAUUCGUGUAUUAAGCUCGGUCUUCUAUCCGUGUUUCUACAGUUUAUACGUAUACUCUACUCUUAAUACAUAUUCAUCUACGCCUUGAAUUCCACUGCUACGUCACAUUUAGCCCGGUUUCGUCGGGCAUCGUUAGGAAUGUCGCGCGAAAAAGAAACUGUUUCUAAAAAAGGAAAGAAAGAGGAAUUAUUCGAACUUCAUUGGCUGUACGAUUGUAACAGAGACACGUAGAAGGUGGACAAUAAGUAGGCCUGUCGCGUCUUACGCAAUGGCAAAAAAAAAGUGUCUAUUACAUCCGCUAGAAGGACGCGUUUCUGUUAGGUUAGGUUAGAUGGACACGUGUGAGAAUUCUACCAGCUAUGUAUAGUAUAUAUAAUAAAUUCCGAUAUUUUGAAACAAUUUGUAACCACAUUGCGAACAAAUUAAAAUAUACUGUUAAUGUUCAUGUC